CCUUAUGACAUCACACAUUGACCUGAUGACAUCACACAUUGACCUGAUGACAUCACACAUUGACCUGAUGACAUCACGCAUUGACCUUAUGACAUCACACACUGACCUUAUGACAUCACACAUUGACCUUAUGACAUCACACACUGACCUUAUGACAUCACACAUUGACCUUAUGACAUCACACAUUGACCUUUGUUACUUGAGACUUGACUCAUCUCUUUAAAGGACGCCGUGACUCGAGGGCGUUGAUCUGAGACUGAAGACUGUUUGUGUUUGACGCCCGAGAGACCGACUGAGUGACUCGAUGUGUCUGUAGGUGACGAGUUAUUUCAACACACUGAAGAUGAAUGAAUAAAAUGUAUUUAAAUCUGUAAUCAAGAUUUGAGCACUCUGUUUUAUUUCUUUAAA